UGGAUCCAGACUUUGAUUAUGGCUCAGGAUGAACGCUAGCUACAGGCUUAACACAUGCAAGUCGAGGGGAAACGACAUCGAAAGCUUGCUUUUGAUGGGCGUCGACCGGCGCACGGGUGAGUAACGCGUAUCCAACCUGCCCACCACUUGUGGAUAACCUUGCGAAAGUAAGACUAAUACCCAAUGAUAUCUCUAGAAGACAUCUGAAAGAGAUUAAAGAUUUGUCGGUGAUGGAUGGGGAUGCGUCUGAUUAGCUUGUUGGCGGGGUAACGGCCCACCAAGGCAACGAUCAGUAGGGGUUCUGAGAGGAAGGUCCCCCACAUUGGAACUGAGACACGGUCCAAACUCCUACGGGAGGCAGCAGUGAGGAAUAUUGGUCAAUGGACGAGAGUCUGAACCAGCCAAGUAGCGUGCAGGAUGACGGCCCUAUGGGUUGUAAACUGCUUUUAUAAGGGAAUAAAGUGAGUCUCGUGAGACUUUUUGCAUGUACCUUAUGAAUAAGGACCGGCUAAUUCCGUGCCAGCAGCCGCGGUAAUACGGAAGGUCCGGGCGUUAUCCGGAUUUAUUGGGUUUAAAGGGAGCGUAGGCCGGAGAUUAAGCGUGUUGUGAAAUGUAGACGCUCAACGUCUGCACUGCAGCGCGGACUGGUUUCCUUGAGUACGCACAAAGUGGGCGGAAUUCGUGGUGUAGCGGUGAAAUGCUUAGAUAUCACGAAGAACUCCGAUUGCGAAGGCAGCUCACUGGAGCGCAACUGACGCUGAAGCUCGAAAGUGCGGGUAUCGAACAGGAUUAGAUACCCUGGUAGUCCGCACGGUAAACGAUGGAUGCCCGCUGUUGGUCUGAAUAGGUCAGCGGCCAAGCGAAAGCAUUAAGCAUCCCACCUGGGGAGUACGCCGGCAACGGUGCAACUCAAAGGAAUUGACGGA
rnacentral:rRNA from 1 species